rnacentral:rRNA from 1 species
UACGUAGGGGGCGAGCGUUAUCCGGAAUUAUUGGGCGUAAAGCGUGCGUAGGUGGUUAGGUAAGUUUAAGAUAAAAGCCCGGGGCUUAACUCCGGUUCGUCUUAAAAACUGUCUGGCUAGAGUGUGGUAGAGGCAAACGGAAUUUCUAGUGUAGCGGUGAAAUGCGUAGAUAUUAGAAGGAACACCAGUGGCGAAGGCGGUUUGCUGGGCCAAAACUGACGCUGAGGCACGAAAGCAUGGGGAGCAAACAGG